GCACCUACCGAUUGAAUGGUUCGGUGAAAAUCUCGGACUGCGGCUUGGAUGCCUUCGGGCAACCAAGCUGUGGAAAGUUGUUUAAACCUCAUCAUUUAGAGGAAGGUGAAGUCGUAACAAGGUUUCCGUAGGUGAACCUGCAGAAGGAUCCGCUCGGCCGAGCGUCGUGUACGGAAAGACUGUAGCUCUCGGUGGUCGCCCUCCCCUUCCCCCACCAACACCCCCCCCCCCCCCCCCCCCCCCCCCCCCCCACCCCCCCCCCCCCCCCCCCCCCCCC
rnacentral:misc_RNA from 1 species